UGUUGCUCAGAGCUUGCACUCUUGAGCAAGCUAUUAAUCAACUGAGCCACUCGGCCAGCCUGGCAGACCCUGUUCUAAAGGGGCACAGAUUUUGGAAGAGGGAGCAGAGGACCGAGUUUGUAAGUGUCAGGAUAGGUUACCUAGAGGAGAUGAUGUCUGAACCCGGCAUAUGAAUGUUGAGUAAGAAUUUGUCAAAAUGACAGAGGUUUAGGGAAGGGAACUGAAGUUUAGGCAAAGAAACAGAAUGAGCAGUGAUCAUGGAUCUGUUCAGCGAAUUGGAAGUUGCAUACUGGGAAGAAGUGACUAGGAUUUAGUGGCCCUGGUUCCUAUUACUUAAUAUUCUCCCCUCUCUUUUGGGGUCUUUCAUUAUGGAAUUCUAUUGACAUCUUCAUGCUGGGCUGGCUGUGGUUGGUUGCUGCAUGAUUUGACUGGCCUUGUGUUCCUUGUUUUGGAAAAGUUGGGACUGGAAUAAGAGUGGAUGCAGGAGUAUACUUCACAUUGUGCUAAAGAGAGAACCAUUUAUGACUCCCGUGCAAGGACUUACGGUCUGGAAUGGAACAGCAGUGUGCUUUCUUCCCCAUAACUGGUCUGAAUGUGGAACUGAUCUCAGCAGUCAGUCCAUCGUACAAGUAUCCUCAUUUAUGAAUGUACCACAAUUUCACACCCUCAAUAUGACGCCAUCUUCAGUUAAAUUCAGAAGACAUUUAUAAGGCAGUGUGUUCCAAGUUGUGGAGGAUAUAAAGAACCUAAGAAGGUAAGAGUAAUGAGGGUGAGAGGAGUUACAGACAACUGCAAGACUGCAGCUGGGUGACAGUGUCAAAGGGGUGCAGACCUGUGGACUGCAGGGAUUAUCCGUUGCUUCUCAUUUGAGGAGAGAGGGAUGGGAGAGCAUUCCAGACAGAAGGAACAGAGGCUUGGAGCAGGAGUUCAGCCUGUGGCUGGGAAUGAUGAUGAGUAAACCCUUGGCUAGAACACAGCAUAUGCGGGUGGGGGCAUCAAGGAAAAUGACUGAACAAAGAUUGAGGCUGCAUCAUGGAAAGAGUCCUUUGGAGAGGGUGAGUCAUCAAGGCUUUUGAGUAUAAUUGAGUCUUGCUCCUAGCACCGUUUCAUGACUGUGUCUCCCAGGGAGUAUCAUGUCAGUGCUUGACUGCAAGGGCGUCUUGUUCUCACUCUUCCCUGACUGAAAAGACUCAUUUUAA